UACAGAGGUCUCAAGCGUUGUUCGGAUUCAUUGGGCGUAAAGGGUGCGUAGGUGGCGGGGUAAGUCAGGUGUGAAAUCUCGGGGCUCAACCCCGAAACUGCACUUGAUACUGCCUUGCUCGAGUACUGGAGAGGAGAUUGGAAUUUACGGUGUAGCAGUGAAAUGCGUAGAUAUCGAGAGGAACACCUGCGGCGAAGGCGGGUUGCUGGGCUGACACUGACGCUGAUGCGCGAAAGCCAGGGGAGCGAACGGG
rnacentral:rRNA from 1 species